rnacentral:lncRNA from 1 species
CAGGCCUUUAGUUCUAGUUUUCUCAAAAAACUGGAGCUGUCUAGCAAUGAUUUUUCCAAUGGGACCACUUUUUGUUGAGUUCAGAGUAAAGACUCUCUUUCUAGAAGUAGCCGAGAUUUUUUGCAUCCAAACUACAGAAAGCUCGAUUCUGUUGAGAGUGGGGUAUGCUCUAUAAUUCCAAUUAAUAAUCCUUUAGGCAUUAUUUUUUAGGUUCUCUGAGGCUGCAUCUGUUGUAAUAUCUCAGUUCUUCUCUAAAGGCAACAACUAUGUUUCUUUUGGUUCGUACUUUCCAUAAACUGACACCUUGUGGAGUUCCAUCAUUUUCAAAACAAGAUAAACCUAAUACUAAAUUCUACUGAAGCUAAAACAAAAAUCUUACUGCCUGAGGUUAUAUCUUUUGAUGAAUUUUAUUCACUAUGUUCAUAUGGCAUCCGAGUGACCUGGAUGUCAACAUUUUCCUUGGUGCACAUGUUGUUUUCAUCUCUUUUAGCUUUAAUUAAUCUGCAGAUGUUCGGUUUAGGCACCUCACCUCCUAGUCACGCUCAUCUGAUUCUCAUUUACAUGAUUGUAAACUAAUAGUAAAUGAUAAUAUGAGCUCUGAUUUUCAUUUUUUAAAUUUGUAAUUCUGAAGCAGAUACUUGGAGAAGAGAGAAGGCAAACCAUAUUCAAUGUCAUAGCACUGCAGAGUAUGGUUUUGUUCCUCCCAAGUUCAGGUCAGUUGAGUUGAAUCUUAUUAAUACUUGAAGGAUGCAUGAUCAAAUAGUGUCAUAGCACUAUUUGUUAUAUUGGCUUUGUGCUAAGAAAUUGUGAACUAAUUGGAUCUACUCAUACCACCUCCCUCCAUAGAGGAAUUUUAAUAACUAAAUUCUAUUGAUUUGAGCAUGAUUUGAGCUUUUGUUCUCUCCUCAGUUUAUAGUUCAUAGUUUUGCAAUAAAAUUUUUAAAAGUCUAAAAAUUAUCUAUAACCCCACAUGAAUUUCACUGUCAAAUUCUUCUGAGUAACAUGUGACUAUUUUUAUUUUCAGAUGGUGGCAUUUUGAAUCUUUGGAGCAGUUCCCGGAGGAAGCUUUGCCAAAGCCUCCCUAUGCAAUAUAUGGGCCUUUGGUUGCAAGUGAGAUUUGAGGAUUUUAUUUUAUCUUGGAAGACUUCAACUCAUUUUUGUGAGUUUUGUGCUUUGAGUUUUACUUCCAAGUAUGUGCAAAGAAGAAAGGAACGACAAAGAUGGAUUCACUGGAGUUUUAUAUGGAGUAAGACUCCCAUGAAAAAUAUUGUAGCAAUUGGUUUGUCAGCCUUGAAGGUUGUAGUUUUAUUUCCCAUUUUGUUCUUUGAGGAAUGUGUUUGUUGAAUCAUAUAUUUUGAACUUACUGAUUUUGUGUAUAUUCAUUUACAUGUAAAUGAUAUUUUAAUCUUCAUUCAUAUAGAAUUUGCUUCUGUUUUA